GGCAACUACGUGCGAGCCGCGGCGGUAAUGAGUGGGGGGGUAGAGUUAAUGGGAAUGACUGGGGGUAAGGCGGGCGCAGGCGGGUUGGUAAGACAGGCGUGAAAUCCCCGGGCUUAACCGGGGAACUGCGCUUGUGACUGACUCACUAGAGUACGGCAGAGGGGGGUGGAAUUCCACGUGUAGCAGUGAAAUGCGUAGAGAUGUGGAGGAACACCGAUGGCGAAGGCAGCCCCCUGGGCCGAUACUGACGCUCAUGCACGAAAGCGUGGGUAGCAAACAGGAUUAGAUACCCGAGUAGUC
rnacentral:rRNA from 1 species